UACAGAGGGUGCUAGCGUUGUUCGGAAUUAUUGGGCGUAAAGGGCGCGUAGGCGGCCUUCUAAGUCGAACGUGAAAUCCCCGGGCUCAACCCGGGAACUGCGUCCGAUACUGGAAGGCUUGAAUCCGGGAGAGGGAUGCGGAAUUCCAGGUGUAGCGGUGAAAUGCGUAGAUAUCUGGAGGAACACCGGUGGCGAAGGCGGCAUCCUGGACCGGCAUUGACGCUGAGGCGCGAAAGCCAGGGGAGCAAGCGGG
rnacentral:rRNA from 1 species